rnacentral:tRNA from 1 species
ACCUGAGUGCUGAAAUUGGUAAACAGAGAGUACUUAAAAUACUCUGAUAUAAUAUCUUAGGUGUUCAAGUCACCUCUCGGGUA